ensembl:rRNA 5S_rRNA 5S ribosomal RNA
GUCUAUGGCCAUACCACCCUGAAUGUGCUUGAUCUCAUCUGAUCUCAAAAAAAGAUGGAAAUUUGGGCACAGACACACAGAGAGAGAUAAUAUGACCAUGUGAAGACAGACA